rnacentral:rRNA from 1 species
UACAGAGGUCCCAAGCGUUGUUCGGAUUCACUGGGCGUAAAGGGUGCGUAGGCGGGUCUUUAAGUCAGGGGUGAAAUCCUGGAGCUCAACUCCAGAACUGCCUUUGAUACUGAGGAUCUUGAGUUCGGGAGAGGUGAGUGGAACUGCGAGUGUAGAGGUGAAAUUCGUAGAUAUUCGCAAGAACACCAGUGGCGAAGGCGGCUCACUGGCCCAAUACUGACGCUGAGGCACGAAAGCGUGGGGAGCAAACAGG